UAUUCUCAUUGGAUCUAAACGGAAAAAUCAGAAAAGUUCUCCUUCUAUUCUGUUCCGAUGCGUAUCCCAGUCGGAUGAAUACCAGUGCCAUUUGUUAAUGGAAUCGCCUUCCCUCUACCGUAUACUAAGCCUGAACUCCAGCCCACAUCAAAGAAUCAAGCGCCGCGAGAAGAUUUCCAUCCCCGAGAACGUCCAUAUGCGGCCUCACCACUCGGACACAAAAGGGACAAUCCGAAUGUAAAUGCUGCGAGCGAAGUGUGGACACGACAGUAUGGGCCGAAAAAAUGUGCUAAAGGAAUAUAGUGUACGGAUGAGUGCAUACUUCUGCGCAGUUAAUUAUUCGAGUAUUUAAGAAUGUAUACUGCUUCGCGACUAAAAACGGGUGAACCUGUGAGAAAUAACUAAACCACGGAACGUGCGAAGUUCGUUUUUUGACCAACUUCACCGUGUCGCGAGUCACUUUGCUAUAUCUAUGCUCUCCACCGUGUGCAUUACGCGCACUAUUGAGAAUCGAGUUGCGACGUGGCGAUGUUGGUCAAAAAUCAAACUUCGCUCGUUGGUUAACCCGUUUUUAAACGCGAAGCAGUACAUAAGCAUUUUAAAAUUAUACUCA